rnacentral:lncRNA from 1 species
GUUAGACGCACGAGAAAAAAAAGAAAACACCUACAUCGGUAUCUUCCUGCUUUCUUGUCUGCAGUGCUACGAAAUAAGUAAACAAAAUCAAGUUAAAUCUCAGGAGACCGGGGACCUUCUGAGAAGAACUUUCAUUUUUUUACUGCUCUCUUUCCACCGGUUUUUAAAACAUAGCUCCGUAUACUGGUGAGCCUGUAAACAUAAACAUUUUAGGUGUGGAGAAUGGGCGUCUAAAGAAAGACUUUAGAGACUUCGGCAAAAUGUAAUGAGGCCUACAGCAAAACGAAACAAUGUUCCCUUGGAGAACUACCCCAGCUUCACAUUGCAUAGUUGAAACAGGCCAGAAACAGUCACAGUCCCUUGGAUUGCUUUCCUUCACAGAGGCUUCCAUGAAGAAUGUGAAACGGCAAUGUAAAACCUCUCGGCCCCCAUUUCACGAUGCAACCUUUGGCUUCUCCAGAGUAGGAGCUGGGAGAAGGAGAAGAGGAGCAGUACCUGCAGACACGUGACCAUGAAGCCUGCUAUGUCCUGUGUCUCUGCCCCUGGAGGUCCUGAUCACCCACAUCUUUGCUCAAAGGUGCUUUGCUCCUCCUGAAUGCAUACCUGACUGCUUACGUUUCUCAUGCGUCCGUGCUUAGAGCUCACUGCGGGAUGAGUUACUUCAGGGGAUCCUUCAUGAGUUGUUAACCACCCUUAUUAAAAUGUGAAACUAACAUAAAGCAAUGUUAAACUAUUAUUUUUUAAACAAGAAAGCACACAUACUUCCAGAUUCCAAUAUAAAGAUUUUCAUUUUUAUAUAUUCAAUAUCAGUUUGUGUCCAGACAUUAUGAUAUUGUUAUAUGGUAGUAAUCAUUGGUGUGGAGGGAAUUUUAUAGUCUUUUUCUUUCAUUUAGCAAAUCAUAAACAUUUUUCCAUAUAUUUCCUAGUUCAUGAUUACAAUUUUUAAAAGCUGCAUAAUAUUCCAUCUAGUGGAUAUAGCACAGUGUAUUAAAUCAUAUUCCCACUGUUGGUUUUUUAGGUUGCUUUAAUUUCUUUGUGGAUGAAUGAUGCUGCAAUAAAAUUAGCCAUUUGUGGAUGACUGUUGUUCUU